rnacentral:rRNA from 1 species
GACGAACGCUGGCGGCGUGCUUAACACAUGCAAGUCGAACGGAAAGGCCCUGCUUUUGUGGGGUGCUCGAGUGGCGAACGGGUGAGUAACACGUGAGUAACCUGCCCUUGACUUUGGGAUAACUUCAGGAAACUGGGGCUAAUACCGGAUAGGAGCUCCUGCUGCAUGGUGGGGGUUGGAAAGUUUCGGCGGUUGGGGAUGGACUCGCGGCUUAUCAGCUUGUUGGUGGGGUAGUGGCUUACCAAGGCUUUGACGGGUAGCCGGCCUGAGAGGGUGACCGGCCGUGUGGGGUGGGGGCUGCGGGCCAGACGCGGAGGGGGGGGAGGUGGGGAGAGGAAGGCAGGAGGGGCGGAGGGUUGAGGAGGCAGCGCGGGGUGGGGGAGGAGGGACUGAGGGUUGAACACCGCUGUCGGCGGGGGGGGAGGGGGAGUGACGGUAGUGGGUAAGGAGGCACCGGAAAACUACGUGACAGCGGCGGGGGUAAGAGAUGAAGGGCACACGUCUGACC